UGAGGAAUAUUGGUCAAUGGACGUAAGUCUGAACCAGCCAAGUAGCGUGCAGGAUGACGGCCCUAUGGGUUGUAAACUGCUUUUGUAUGGGGAUAAAGUCAAUCACGUGUGAUUGUUUGCAGGUACCAUACGAAUAAGGACCGGCUAAUUCCGUGCCAGCAGCCGCGGUAAUACGGAAGGUUCGGGCGUUAUCCGGAUUUAUUGGGUUUAAAGGGAGCGUAGGCCGGAGAUUAAGUGUGUUGUGAAAUGUAGACGCUCAACGUCUGACUUGCAGCGCAUACUGGUUUUCUUGAGUACGCACAACGUUGGCGGAAUUCGUCGUGUAGCGGUGAAAUGCUUAGAUAUGACGAAGAACUCCGAUUGCGAAGGCAGCUGACGGGAGCGCAACUGACGCUGAAGCUCGAAGGUGCGGGUAUCGAACAGGAUUAGAUACCCUGGUAGUCCGCACAGUAAACGAUGGAUGCCCGCUGUUGGUACCUGGUAUCAGCAGCUAAGCGAAAGCAUUAAGCAUCCCACCUGGGGAGUACGCCGGCAACGGUG
rnacentral:rRNA from 1 species